CUGGAACUCUGGGGCGAAUCUCGAGUUCUUCAAGAUGGUUGCAGUGUGUCCGUCCACCUCCACCACCUCCCCUGCCUGAGGAACAGGAAGGGGAGGGAGCAAGGGACCACUCCUGGUAGUGUUUGGAGGACCACGCAGCACUUGGAUUUGAAUCCGGGGCUCCUGCAGGCAAAGCAUGUGUUCCAGCCCUUUGCGUCAUCUCCGAAAUCCUAAAGGUGGCACCCACCAUUUCUGCAAAGCCACCCCUUGCUACCUGGCCGCCACUCUCAGCUUUUUCCCAAAGGGGGAGGAGUGAGCAGAGGAUCUAAGAUCUCAAAACACUGGAGCAAGUGAAGAAAAAAGUCCUCAGGUAUUGUCCUUUCUACCCAGGUGAGCCCCAUGCCACAAAAGGCCAUGUGCAAGCUGAAGGCACAGGUGAGUGGCCAAGUUCCACUUCUGUAAGGCUGUCAUGGGGUGGUGGGUGGACAACAGGAGCAAAGGAAAGACAAAACGUGAAAAAAGGAUACAAAAAAUGUCAUGCCGGGGGGUGGGGGCCAGCCAACCCAGGUUUGAUGACCGGCACCCCACAUGGCUCCCUGAGCCUAGCAGGGGUGAUCACCUGGGGCAGAGCCAGGUGUGGCACCAAAACCAAAUAAAUAAAUUAAACAGCAGUAGGGAAUAGUUGUGUUUUGUUUUGUUUUUAAAUGUCGUGCUAGAGCCAGAGCAAUAGCAUAGCAAGCAGGGAACUUGCCUUGCAUGCAGUCAACCUGGGCUCGAUCCUGGUAUCCUAUACCAUCCCCAGAGUCAACGCAGAGCCAGGAGUUACUCCUGAGAUCACCGGGUGUGACCAACCCCCCAAAUAAAUGUCAUGCUAGGGGGCUGAUAGUAUAUCAGGUAAGGCCCUUGCCUCGCCCACAGCAGACAUGGGUUCAAUUUCCAGCACCCCAUCCCAUAUCCUGAACCCCGCCUGGAGUGAUCCUUGAGCAUGAGCCAGGAGGAAGCCCUAAGCACUACCAGAUGUGGCAAAAACAAAACAAAACAAAAACA